CCAGGCACUCCUGUCUUCCACUGCCUCCUGCAGUUUGGUCAAACUCAUGCUGGUAGCUUUGAGAACACUAUCCAACCAUCUCGUCCUCUGUCGUCCCUUCUCCUUGUGCCCUCCAUCUUUCCCAACAUCAGGGUCUUUUCCAGGGAGUCUUCUCUUCUCAUGAGGUGGCCAAAGUAUUGGAGCCUCAGCUUCAGGAUCUGUCCUUCCAGUGAG